AUGGUGAGAAUGUGAGAAUAUAUAGAAAAUUUAACAUAAACAAGCAAAUUGUAUAAACAGAAAAGGACAUAAUUAAAGAGUAUCAGGAGAAGGCAUAAAUGUAAAAGAAUAAAUUAAAAAGAGAGAGAGAGAGAACAACGGACAAAUAAAAAAACAGUAAGAUGAAAUCAAUACUUUAUUCGGAUGAUGUUUUCUGCUGUCACUUAGGGAAAAGAAUUCCCCAAAUUGCAGUCACCUACAGAUGAACACAAUUACUUACAAAAUGGACAACAGCACUUCUACUAAUCAUUAUACAACAACAACUUGAAGGAGUUGUUUUUAUAUUGUAACAGUAAA